ensembl:lncRNA
CGCAACACGGAACCGGCGGACGGCUCAGACACCGAAUACUGAUGCGACCCUCUCAUCAUGGACUCUGUUACAUAGAGAGGAAAAGGAAAAGCACUAAACCAGCUCGGUCUGGGCUUUUGUUUAUUUUUUUGAAUUCCUCCGGUCAAUGUUCUUCCUUACUGGUGCAAUACAGAAACCUCUAACUCCAGUGGUGCAGGCCGAGAGUGCCGAAGCGAUCCAUGACUCAGUUAUGGGUAAAGAAGUGUUAGAACUUCUCUUUAAACUUAAAGGAGCAGUUUGUAAAAAUGUGUGUUCGUAGCCCUCAUCGUUUUAAAGACACGCCGAGAGUCACAACAUCGUCAUGCACUGGACCUGGACAGUUUUGUUAUUCAAGAAUGUUUUAGACGUGUGUAUUUUUCCAGACCCAAGAAGUUAGCUCCGCCCCCAGCCAAAAACACGAGACGUAUAUCUUUAGUCUAGGUCGACGUGAAAAGCAUGUCUGUUUUUAACUGCAGUUCGAGGGCUCAGAAAAUUACAAACUGCUUCUUUAAAAAGAAAAGAAAAAAAAAAUAACUGUAAAAGAUAUUUGCUACUAAACGCAUUAAAAUGCUAGCAACGGUUCCAAACGACUCGAGCUGGGAAAACACUAACGAGGCAUCGGGCAGCUUCUUAAUCCCGGUUUAUAAAUUUAUUACGUAUUUAUUGAUAACGUGCUGUACAUCACGGAGGACGCACCGAGACUCGAAUUAACGCUCCUCAAGUUGUUUUAUCUUGAAUGUAAUACUUGCAAAAUGCCAUGCACAUUAUGCACUCAGAUUUUUAUUUGCCAAAUAGUGUACUCCAUUAUAGAGCUGUGGAUGGAAUUUGAGGUGGUUUUAUUUUGUUUGUGAAUACAUGUGGAAAUCCAUAGCGUGCUGUGAUUUAUUUUUUUUCAUCCUUCAGGAAGACGUGCGAGUCGGCUCACACGUUCAGCUCAGCUCUAGGUCAGUGAGUUCAGACUUAGUUUAGAGGACAGAAAGUCUCCUCUGCUUCUACACGGAGAAUGCAGUUACUACUGUGUGUGUGUUGUGGUUUACAUUAACGCUAAUUUAUUCGGUUUGUUUUGUAAAGACAGCGAGAUGGUGGUUGUGCUCAGAGAUGUUUGCACUUCAGACCUAUAUGCAUUGUUCUUGAAUAUGUAAAAAAAGAAACAAAAAAAAAACAACUGAAUAUUAAAAUGAUUUAGAGCUGCUCCAGUACUUAGUCCUUCUUUUUUUUUUUCGUAACCCAAUACCAGUGGUUCUGAGAUACAAAUCCCAAUCCUUUAUCAUAUUAGGAAGAAUCAUGUUUUUUGCAUUUAUAACACUUUCUCUAAAACUGACCAUGCCUGCUCCUCUAAAUCCAACACAUACACAGGCCACACCCCCUUCUCGAAACCGGACCAUGCCUGCUCCGCUAAAUCUGACAGAGGCCACACCCCUUUCUCCAAACUUGGCCUCUCCAAAAGGCCACAGCUUCCAAAUUUC